rnacentral:rRNA from 1 species
GUGAGGAAUAUUAGUCAAUGGGCGCAAGCCUGAACUAGCCAAGCCGCGUGAAGGAAGACGGCCCUAUGGGUUGUAAACUUCUUUUGUAGGGGAAAAAACCUCCGGACGUGUCCGGAGCUGAUUGUACUCUACGAAUAAGCAUCGGCUAACUCCGUGCCAGCAGCCGCGGUAAUACGGAGGAUGCAGGCGUUAUCCGGAUUUAUUAGGUUUAAAGGGUGCGUAGGCGGGUUAUUAAGUCAGUGGUGAAAUCCUGCAGCUUAACUGUAGAACUGCCAUUGAUACUGAUAAUCUUGAAUGUGGUUGAGGCAGGCGGAAUGUGUCGUGUAGCGGUGAAAUGCUUAGAUAUGACACAGAACACCAAUUGCGAAGGCAGCUUGCUAAGCCAUGAUUGACGCUGAGGCACGAAAGCGUGGGGAUCAAACAGGAUUAGAAACCCCUGUAGUCC